rnacentral:rRNA from 1 species
GGGUUUAAAGGAAGCGAUUCCGGCUACGGAUGGUCAUGCGUCGCAUUAGCUAGUUGGCGGGGUAACGGCCCACCAAGGCGACGAUGCGUAGGGGUUCUGAGAGGAAGGUCCCCCACACUGGUACUGAGACACGGACCAGACUCCUACGGGAGGCAGCAGUGAGGAAUAUUGGUCAAUGGCCGCAGGGCUGAACCAGCCAAGUCGCGUGAGGGAUGACGGUCCUAUGGAUUGUAAACCUCUUUUGUCAGGGAGCAAAGGGCGCCACGUGUGGCGCUUUGCGAGUACCUGAAGAAAAAGCAUCGGCUAACUCCGUGCCAGCAGCCGCGGUAAUACGAGGAUGCGAGCGUUAUCCGGAUUUAUUGGGUUUAAAGGGUGCGCAGGCGGAAUGUCAAGUCAGCGGUAAAAUUUCGGGGCUCAACCCCGUCGUGCCGUUGAAACUGGCGUUCUUGAGUGAGCGAGAAGUAUGCGGAAUGCGUGGUGUAGCGGUGAAAUGCAUAGAUAUCACGCAGAACUCCGAUUGCGAAGGCAGCAUACCGGCGCUCAACUGACGCUCAUGCACGAAAGCGUGGGUAUCGAACAGGAUUAGAUACCCUGGUAGUCCACGCAGUAAACGAUGAAUACUAACUGUCCGGGCAGAAUGAUGCCUGGGU